CAGCCUAAAUAGGUAGACCUUGAACAAUCUGAUAUUGUUCUUUUCGUUUGCACUAAGGAUGCAAAAGAAAAAAAAAUCCCGGCACUUUCGGUCUUUGCGGUGGCCCCGACUGAAGAGGCGACUACACCU